rnacentral:rRNA from 1 species
AACGAACGCUGGCGGCAUGCCUAACACAUGCAAGUCGAACGAGACCUUCGGGUCUAGUGGCGCACGGGUGCGUAACGCGUGGGGACCUGCCCUUAGGUUCGGAAUAACUCCCCGAAAGGGGUGCUAAUACCGGAUAAUGUCUUCGGACCAAAGAUUUAUCGCCUUUGGAUGGGCCCGCGUUGGAUUAGCUAGUUGGUAGGGUAAAAGCCUACCAAGGCGACGAUCCAUAGCUGGUCUGAGAGGAUGAUCAGCCACACUGGGACUGAGACACGACCCAGACUCCUACGGGAGGCAGCAGUGGGGAAUAUUGGACAAUGGGCGAAAGCCUGAUCCAGCAAUGCCGCGUGAGUGAUGAAGGCCUUAGGGUUGUAAAGCUCUUUUACCCGGGAUGAUAAUGACAGUACCGGGAGAAUAAGCUCCGGCUAACUCCGUG